CCUACGGGUGGCUGCAGUGAGGAAUAUUGGUCAAUGGACGAGAGUCUGAACCAGCCAAGUAGCGUGAAGGAUGACUGCCCUAUGGGUUGUAAACUUCUUUUAUAUGGGAAUAAAAUGUUCCACGUGUGGGAUUUUGUAUGUACCAUAUGAAUAAGGAUCGGCUAACUCCGUGCCAGCAGCCGCGGUAAUACGGAGGAUCCGAGCGUUAUCCGGAUUUAUUGGGUUUAAAGGGAGCGUAGGUGGAUUGUUAAGUCAGUUGUGAAAGUUUGCGGCUCAACCGUAAAAUUGCAGUUGAAUCUGGCAGUCUUGAGUACAGUAGAGGUGGGCGGAAUGCGUGGUGUAGCGGUGAAAUGCUUAGAUAUCACGCAGAACUCCGAUUGCGAAGGCAGUUCACUGGACUGCAACUGACACUGAGGCUCGAAAGUGUGGGUAUCAAACAGGAUUAGAUACCCGGGUAGUC
rnacentral:rRNA from 1 species